rnacentral:rRNA from 1 species
AGUGAACGCUGGCGGUAGGCCUAACACACGCAAGUCGAACGGCAGCACAGUAAGAGCUUGCUCUUACGGGUGGCGAGUGGCGGACGGGUGAGGAAUACAUCGGAAUCUACUUUUUCGUGGGGGAUAACGUAGGGAAACUUACGCUAAUACCGCAUACGACCUACGGGUGAAAGCAGGGGAUCUUCGGACCUUGCGCGAUUGAAUGAGCCGAUGUCGGAUUAGCUAGUUGGCGGGGUAAAGGCCCACCAAGGCGACGAUCCGUAGCUGGUCUGAGAGGAUGAUCAGCCACACUGGAACUGAGACACGGUCCGGACUCCUACGGGAGGCAGCAGUGGGGAAUAUUGGACAAUGGGCGCAAGCCUGAUCCAGCCAUACCGCGUGGGUGAAGAAGGCCUUCGGGUUGUAAAGCCCUUUUGUUGGGAAAGAAAAGCAGCAGGUUAAUACCCCGCUGUUCUGACGGUACCCAAAGAAUAAGCACCGGCUAACUUCGUG